GGUCAAGCUAAUAAGGGCAGAAGGCGGAUGCCUUGGCACCAGGAGUCGAUGAAGGACGUGGUAAGCUGCGAUAAGCCUCGGGGAGAUGCAAGCAAUCUUUGAUCCGGGGAUUUCCGAAUGGGGAAACCUACUUAGGUUAAUACCUAAGUAUCUAUUACUCAAUCAAUAGGUAAUAGAAGACAUACCAGGGGAACUGAAACAUCUAAGUACCCUGAGGAAGAGAAAGAAAAAUCGAUUCCCUAAGUAGCGGCGAGCGAAAGGGGAUAAGCCCAAACCGAUAGGGUUUUCUCUAUCGGGGUUGUGGACCGGUCAUAUAUGAGGACUCAUCGUAAUAGAAGAGGUUUGGAAAGACUCACCAUAGAAGGUAAUAGUCCUGUACAUGAAACGAUGAUAUUCUAGACCGUGAUCCAGAGUACCACGAGGCACGUGAAACCUUGUGGGAAGCAGGGGGGACCACCCCCCAAGGCUAAAUACUACCUGGUGACCGAUAGCGCAUAGUACCGUGAGGGAAAGGUGAAAAGAACCCCGGAAGGGGAGUGAAAUAGAACCUGAAACCUUCUGCUUACAAACUGUGGGAGCACUUUUUAUGUGUGACCGCGUACUUUUUGUAGAACGGGCCAACGAGUUACGGUAUGGAGCAAGGUUAAGCACCUAUGGUGCGAAGCCGUAGGGAAACCGAGUCUUAAUAGGGCGUCUAGUUUCAUGCCGUAGACCCGAAACCGGGCGACCUACCCAUGGUCAGGAUGAAGCGGAAGUAAAAUUUCGUGGAGGUCCGAACCGAUUGACGUUGAAAAGUCACCGGAUGAACUGUGGGUAGCGGUGAAAUUCCAAUCGAGCCCGGAGAUAGCUGGUUCUCGCCGAAAUAGCUUUAGGGCUAGCCUCGAGGUUAAGAGAUACGGAGGUAGAGCACUGAAUGGUCUAGGGGCCUUCACCGGUUACCAAAACCUAUCAAACUCCGAAUGCCGUUAUCUUUUACUCGGGAGUCAGACUACGAGUGAUAAGAUCCGUAGUCAAGAGGGAAAGAGCCCAGACCAUCAGCUAAGGUCCCAAAGUAUACGUUAAGUGGAAAAGGAUGUGGAGUUGCAUAGACAACCAGGAUGUUGGCUUAGAAGCAGCCAUUCAUUCAAAGAGUGCGUAAUAGCUCACUGGUCGAGUGAUUCUGCGCCGAAAAUGUCCGGGGCUCAAACGUAUCACCGAAGCUAUGGAUCCGUAAGGAUGGUAGGCGAGCGUUCUAUAUAGGUUGAAGCUGUACCGGAAGGAGCAGUGGACUGUAUAGAAGUGAGAAUGUUGGCAUGAGUAACGAGAGGCAGGUGAGAAUCCUGCCCGUCGAAAACCUAAGGUUUCCUGAGGAAGGCUCGUCCGCUCAGGGUUAGUCGGGACCUAAGCCCAGGCCGAAAGGCGUAGGCGAUGGACAACAGGUUGAAAUUCCUGUACCACCUAAAAUCGUUUGAGAGAUGGAGUGACACAGUAGGAUAGGCUCAGCGCACCGUUGGUUGUGUGCGUCUAAGCUGGUAGGGAGUUAAAAGAGGCAAAUCCCUUUUAACUUAAUCCUGAGAAGUGAUGGGGAGCGAAAUUUAAGUAGCGAACUGGCUGAUUCCACACUGUCGAGAAAAGCUUCUAUCGAGAUUUCUAGGUGCCCGUACCGCAAACCGACACAGGUAGGUGAGGAGAGAAUCCUAAGACGAUCGGGAGAACUAUUGUUAAGGAACUCGGCAAAAUGACCCCGUAACUUCGGGAUAAGGGGAGCCGGUUUUGGUUAAAGAUUUACUCUGUAAGCCUCAACCGGCCGCAGAGAAUAGGCCCAAGCGACUGUUUACCAUAAACAUAGGUCUCUGCUAAGUCGAAAGACGACGUAUAGGGGCUGACGCCUGCCCGGUGCUGGAAGGUUAAGGGGAAUUGUUAGCGUAAGCGACGCAAUGAACUUAAGCCCCAGUAAACGGCGGCCGUAACUAUAACGGUCCUAAGGUAGCGAAAUUCCUUGUCGGGUAAGUUCCGACCCGCACGAAAGGCGUAACGAUUUGGGCGCUGUCUCAACAAUAGACCCGGUGAAAUUGUAAUACCAGUGAAGAUGCUGGUUACCCGCGACAGGACGGAAAGACCCCGUGGAGCUUUACUGCAACUUGACAUUGGAUUUCGGUGCUACAUGUACAGCAUAGGUGGGAGACUUAGAAGCUGGGACGCCAGUCUCAGUGGAGUCAUCGUUGGGAUACCACUCUUGUAGUACUGAAGUUCUAACCAUAGACUGUGAAUCCAGUCUUGGGACACUGUCAGGUGGGCAGUUUGACUGGGGCGGUCGCCUCCCAAAAAGUAACGGAGGCGCCCAAAGGUUCCCUCAGCACGGUCGGAAAUCGUGCGUAGAGUGUAAAGGCAAAAGGGAGCUUGAUUGCGAGACAUACAGGUCGAGCAAGGACGAAAGUCGGGCUUAGUGAUCCGGUGGUUCCGAGUGGAAGGGCCAUCGCUCAACGGAUAAAAGCUACCCCGGGGAUAACAGGCUUAUCUCCCCCAAGAGUCCACAUCGACGGGGAGGUUUGGCACCUCGAUGUCGGCUCAUCACAUCCUGGGGCUGUAGUAGGUCCCAAGGGUUGGGCUGUUCGCCCAUUAAAGUGGUACGCGAGCUGGGUUCAGAACGUCGUGAGACAGUUCGGUCCCUAUCCGUCGCGGGCGCAGGAAAUUUGAGAGGAGCUGUCCUUAGUACGAGAGGACCGGGAUGGACGCACCUCUGGUGUACCAGUUGUUCUGCCAAGAGCAUCGCUGGGUAGCUAAGUGCGGAAGGGAUAAGUGCUGAAGGCAUCUAAGCACGAAGCCCCCCUCAAGAUAAGAUUUCCCACUCCGUAAGGAGGUAAGACCCCAAGAAGACUACUUGGUUGAUAGGCCUAGGGUGUAAGUGCAGCAAUGUACUUAGCUGAUAGGUACUAAUAGGUCGAGGGCUUGACCAA
rnacentral:rRNA from 1 species